GACGAACGCUGGCGGCGUGCUUAACACAUGCAAGUCGAACGGAAAGGCCCUGCUUUUGUGGGGUGCCCGAGUGGCGAACGGGUGAGUAACACGUGAGUAACCUGCCCUUGACUUUGGGAUAACUUCAGGAAACUGGGGCUAAUACCGGAUAGGAGCUCCUGUUGCAUGGUGGGGGUUGGAAAGUUUCGGCGGUUGGGGAUGGACUCGCGGCUUAUCAGCUUGUUGGUGGGGUAGUGGCUUACCAAGGCUUUGACGGGUAGCCGGCCUGAGAGGGUGACCGGCCACAUUGGGACUGAGAUACGGCCCAGACUCCUACGGGAGGCAGCAGUGGGGAAUAUUGCACAAUGGGCGGAAGCCUGAUGCAGCAACGCCGCGUGCGGGAUGACGGCCUUCGGGUUGUAAACCGCUUUCGCCUGUGACGAAGCGUGAGUGACGGUAAUGGGUAAAGAAGCACCGGCUAACUACGUG
rnacentral:rRNA from 1 species